rnacentral:rRNA from 1 species
UACGUAGGGUGCGAGCGUUGUCCGGAAUUAUUGGGCGUAAAGAGCUCGUAGGCGGUGUGUCGCGUCGGCCGUGAAAGUCCGGGGCUCAACUCCGGAUCUGCGGUGGGUACGGGCAGACUAGAGUGAUGUAGGGGAGACUGGAAUUCCUGGUGUAGCGGUGAAAUGCGUAGAUAUCUGGAGGAACACCGGUGGCGAAGGCGGCAUCCUGGACCAAUAUUGACGCUGAGGAGCGAAAGCCAGGGGAGCAACGGG